rnacentral:rRNA from 1 species
UACGAAGGGGGAGCUAGCGUUGCUCGGAAUUACUGGGCGUAAAGCGCACGUAGGCGGAUUGUUAAGUCGGGGGUGAAAUCCUGGAGCUCAACUCCAGAACUGCCUUCGAUACUGGCGAUCUCGAGUUCGGGAGAGGUGAGUGGAACUGCGAGUGUAGAGGUGAAAUUCGUAGAUAUUCGGAGGAACACCAGUGGCGAAGGCGGCUCACUGGUCCAUUACUGACGCUGAGGUGCGAAAGCGUGGGGAGCAAACAGG